UAGUGUUCGUCAUGGCGAUCAGAUGGCACCAGCAGAAAUGGAGCCCUGGCCAGUGUGAGGCGUAGCAGUGCAGGAGGGGAGACCUUGAAGGAGACAGCCCGCCUAAACUGAUGCCUGCAGAUUGAAUUUCCAGGUUUAGAGGAGCAAGUUCUCCG
rfam:Loxodonta africana unplaced genomic scaffold scaffold_71, whole genome shotgun sequence.